GAAGUUGGAUUCGCUAGUAAUCGCGCAUCAGCCAUGGCGCGGUGAAUACGUUCCCGGGCCUUGUACACACCGCCCGUCAAGCCAUGGGAGCCGGGGGCGCCUGAAGUCCGGGACCGCGAGGACCGGCCUAGGGCGAAACUGGUGACUGGGGCUAAGUCGUAACAAGGUACC
rnacentral:rRNA from 1 species